rnacentral:sRNA from 1 species
GGCGGGCUGGAACCUCUCGGGGUUACAGCCUUGCUGAAUUAUUCACCCUUGUCUUUUGCGUACUUCUUGUUUCCUUGGUGGGUUCGCCCACCACUAGGACAAACAUAAACCUUUUGUAAUUGCAAUCAGCGUCAGUAACAAAUUAAUAAUUACAACUUUCAACAACGGAUCUCUUGGUUCUGGCAUCGAUGAAGAACGCAGCGAAAUGCGAUAAGUAGUGUGAAUUGCAGAAUUCAGUGAAUCAUCGAAUCUUUGAACGCACAUUGCGCCCUUUGGUAUUCCAAAGGGCAUGCCUGUUCGAGCGUCAUUUGUACCCUCAAGCUUUGCUUGGUGUUGGGCGUCUUGUCUCUAGCUUUGCUGGAGACUCGCCUUAAAGUAAUUGGCAGCCGGCCUACUGGUUUCGGAGCGCAGCACAAGUCGCACUCUCUAUCAGCAAAGGUCUAGCAUCCAUUAAGCCUUUUUUUCAACUUUUGACCUCGGAUCAGGUAGGGAUACCCGCUGAACUUAAGCAUAUCAAUAAGCGGAGGA